rnacentral:rRNA from 1 species
AGAGUUUGAUCCUGGCUCAGGACGAACGCUGGCGGCGUGCCUAACACAUGCAAGUCGAACGGAGAUACGAUUUCGGUUGUAUCUUAGUGGCGAACGGGUGAGUAACGCGUGAGCAACCUGACUCUUAGAGGGGGAUAACACUGGGAAACGAGUGCUAAUACCGCAUAAGACCACGACAUGGCAUCAUGACGAGGUCAAAGGAGCAAUCCGCUGAGAGAGGGGCUCGCGUCCCAUUAGAUAGAUGGCGGGGUAACGGCCCACCAUGUCAACGAUGGGUAGCCGAGCUGAGAGGCUGAUCGGCCACACUGGAACUGAGACACGGUCCAGACUCCUACGGGAGGCAGCAGUGGGGAAUAUUGGGCAAUGGGGGAAACCCUGACCCAGCAACGCCGCGUGAAGGAAGAAGGUUUUCGGAUUGUAAACUUCUGUCCUUGGUGAAGAGAAGAAGACGGUAGCCAAGGAGGAAGCCCCGGCUAACUACGUGCCAGCAGCCGCGGUAAUA